AUGGCAACUCCAAGAGCACCAGCAUCCCGCUGGAAUCAGGAAUCAAGCCCACAGGGAAGCGCUGAGCACAUAAGGACUUCCCCUCGCCAUGCUGCAGAAAGCCUUUGCUCCGCAUUCCUGAGAGCUCAUCACCUCAUCAGUAUUUUCCUUAUCAGUUACAUAAUUGAGAAGGCGCAGAGUCACACCGCCGGGGAGAAGUUAUUAGAUGCCACCCCUCCGCAGAGCGGCGAGAUGAGUGCUGUUUAUCACUGCUGGCAGGUUACAGAUACGGCGGGCCCGUACCACUCUGCAGGCACCCAGGCACCGCACGCGGGUGCUGCUCCACGCCUGGGGUCUGCUUACACAGCACAGGGCAGGGAUGCCAUGCUAACAACGCGCUAUAAAUACCCGACAGCUGGGGACCUAAAGGAAAUGAAGCUCCUUCUUGUUGUUUCCCAAAGAAGCUGCCUUUCCAGAGCCCGGUUUGGCGGUGCUCCCUGGGAUGAUGCUUGCCCUGCGCCCCGGUGCUUUCAGCAUAAUCAGGCCCCGAGCGUUCACGUGGGGAUCUCUGCUGCUGCUUCUCUGCUUCAAAGAGAUCUGGGGAGGGAGACUGAAGGGGAACAGGGCAGGAACAUCUGGCAGCUGCUGGGAGAACCAGCAGCCACAUUUGGAGGACAGGAUGGCCAGGCUCACCCCCAGCAGGGGCAGCCCACGAACAGCUCCAGCUCAAAAACCACAUCGUGCAUUCCCCCAUCAGCUCCAGGGACAGCCCUGCUGCCCAGAAACAGCCCCAGGAUGCACCCCACACAGCCCUCCUGCUGCCCAGGUAACACAGCUCCAUGCUUACCUUUCCUCAAGCACAUCUGUGCGCAACCAGCAUGCACAGAGCACAAUUACGAAGCAAAUCUGCACAUCCCAGUGCCAUCAGAGCUGACAUAGCACAGGCUCUGGCUGCAGCAGAGGAUAUUUCCAUGCACUUUCCUCACCGACCCAGGGGACGCCAGCCCUGCACCUUAGGGCCCUUCUGCCAGCCAAGGCUUGUCAAGCAGCACACGCUGCACCACUCGUCACAUACAGGACAGGUGGGCACCGAGCCCCAGCGCACAGCCCAGCUCCCGCUUGUCUGCACACCAGGGAAAACACAGGCAGACAGCAUAACCCCCAGACCUCCAGCUUCUAAAGCAGCAGGGGCUGGGGAGCUGCCCUCCUG
rnacentral:lncRNA from 1 species